rnacentral:rRNA from 1 species
GACGAACGCUGGCGGCGUGCUUAACACAUGCAAGUCGAACGGAAAGGCCCUGCUUUUGUGGGGUGCUCGAGUGGCGAACGGGUGAGUCACACGUGAGUAACCUGCCCUUGACUUUGGGAUAACUUCAGGAAGCUGGGGCUAAUACCGGAUAGGAGCUCCUGCUGCAUGGUGGGGGUUGGAAAGUUUCGGCGGUUGGGGAUGGACUCGCGGCUUAUCAGCUUGUUGGUGGGGUAGUGGCUUACCAAGGCUUUGACGGGUAGCCGGCCUGAGAGGGUGACCGGCCACAUUGGGACUGAGAUACGGCCCAGACUCCUACGGGAGGCAGCAGUGGGGAAUAUUGCACAAUGGGCGGAAGCCUGAGGCAGCAACGCCGGGGGCGGGAUGACGGCCUUCGGUUGUUAAACCGCUUUCGCCUGGGACGAAGCGUGAGUGACGGUAAUGGGUAAAGAAGCACCAGCUAACUACGUG